UCUAAAGCAGAAGAAUUGAAAUGUCUGAGCUCAACUCUUUUUUUGUUUGUUUGUUUUUUUAGGGCUUAAAAUUUGAAUCCUUAGUGAACCAGAGGGGGAAAGAAUGAUGAAAUCCUCAAGAGUUUUAUUAGUGAUCCUGUGGCUUCACUUAAUCUCGGUGAGCAGCCAGCAGAACACCGUGGAGCAGAGUCCUGCGUCUCUGCCUGUCCCAGAGGGAGCCGUCGCCUCUCUCGGCUGCACUUAUUCUGACAGUAAUUCUCAGUACUUCACAUGGUACAGACAGUACCCUGGGAAAGGACCUGAGUUUCUGCUGCAGGUGUAUGCCGACAAAGACAAAGAGGAAGGAAAAUUUACAGCGCAGUCCAAUAAAACCAACAAGCGUGUCUCCCUGCGUAUCAGAGACUCCGAGCCCAGCGACUCAGCCACCUACCUCUGUGCAGUGAACACACAGUGCUCCCCAGGCACCUGCCGCCUGUGCCCAAACCUGCUGGGGCCCCGGCAGCGCCUCUUGGAGAGCUUAGGCUGCAGGGCACAGACAUUCUGUCACCUCUCUAGAUGUGAAUGUGGAUUAAGAGUAACCGUGGAGAAGGUUUGAUUGAUUAGGGAAAUAUUUUCAAAAUUCUGAAACAGUUGAUUCUGAAGGGAAAUUAAACAGACAGUUUGGUCUGAAUGACUGAAAUAUUUUUCAAUCUUCUCAUUGUACUCUAGUUUUGUACCAUAACUUUACUCACUGGAAUUGGAAUUAUGAUGCUUUUAUAUAUGACAAUAUUUUAAUAUGAUAACUGAGAUACUCCCUCAUAGUUCCUGGUACAUUUUGCUCUUUCCUCAUGCAGUUAUUCAAGAUGUUUGAUAUUCAUUGCUUUAGGAAAUAAUGGAAAAACAUAAA